AGAAGCUUGCUUCUCUGAUGUUAGCGGCGGACGGGUGAGUAACACGUGGGUAACCUACCUAUAAGACUGGGAUAACUCCGGGAAACCGGGGCUAAUACCGGAUAAUAUUUUGAACCGCAUGGUUCAAUAGUGAAAGACGGUUUCGGCUGUCACUUAUAGAUGGACCCGCGCCGUAUUAGCUAGUUGGUAAGGUAACGGCUUACCAAGGCGACGAUACGUAGCCGACCUGAGAGGGUGAUCGGCCACACUGGAACUGAGACACGGUCCAGACUCCUACGGGAGGCAGCAGUAGGGAAUCUUCCGCAAUGGGCGAAAGCCUGACGGAGCAACGCCGCGUGAGUGAUGAAGGUCUUCGGAUCGUAAAACUCUGUUGUUAGGGAAGAACAAAUUUGUUAGUAACUGAACAAGUCUUGACGGUACCUAACCAGAAAGCCACGGCUAACUACGUGCCAGCAGCCGCGGUAAUACGUAGGUGGCAAGCGUUAUCCGGAAUUAUUGGGCGUAAAGCGCGCGUAGGCGGUUUCUUAAGUCUGAUGUGAAAGCCCACGGCUCAACCGUGGAGGGUCAUUGGAAACUGGGAAACUUGAGUGCAGAAGAGGAGAGUGGAAUUCCAUGUGUAGCGGUGAAAUGCGCAGAGAUAUGGAGGAACACCAGUGGCGAAGGCGGCUCUCUGGUCUGUAACUGACGCUGAUGUGCGAAAGCGUGGGGAUCAAACAGGAUUAGAUACCCUGGUAGUCCACGCCGUAAACGAUGAGUGCUAAGUGUUAGGGGGUUUCCGCCCCUUAGUGCUGCAGCUAACGCAUUAAGCACUCCGCCUGGGGAGUACGACCGCAAGGUUGAAACUCAAAGGAAUUGACGGGGACCCGCACAAGCGGUGGAGCAUGUGGUUUAAUUCGAAGCAACGCGAAGAACCUUACCAAAUCUUGACAUCCUUUGACCGCUCUAGAGAUAGAGUCUUCCCCUUCGGGGGACAAAGUGACAGGUGGUGCAUGGUUGUCGUCAGCUCGUGUCGUGAGAUGUUGGGUUAAGUCCCGCAACGAGCGCAACCCUUAAGCUUAGUUGCCAUCAUUAAGUUGGGCACUCUAGGUUGACUGCCGGUGACAAACCGGAGGAAGGUGGGGAUGACGUCAAAUCAUCAUGCCCCUUAUGAUUUGGGCUACACACGUGCUCCAAUGGAUAAUACAAAGGGCAGCGAAUCCGCGAGGCCAAGCAAAUCCCAUAAAAUUAUUCUCAGUUCGGAUUGUAGUCUGCAACUCGACUACAUGAAGCUGGAAUCGCUAGUAAUCGUAGAUCAGCAUGCUACGGUGAAUACGUUCCCGGGUCUUGUACACACCGCCCGUCACAACCACGAGAGUUUGUAACACCCGAAGCCGGUGGAGUAACCUU
rnacentral:rRNA from 2 species